rnacentral:rRNA from 1 species
UACGGGAGGCAGCAGUGGGGAAUAUUGCACAAUGGGCGCAAGCCUGAUGCAGCCAUGCCGCGUGUAUGAAGAAGGCCUUCGGGUUGUAAAGUACUUUCAGUCGUGAGGAAGGUGUUAAGGUUAAUAACCUUAGCAAUUGACGUUAGCGACAGAAGAAGCACCGGCUAACUCCGUGCCAGCAGCCGCGGUAAUACGGGAGGGUGCGAGCGUUAAUCGGAAUUACUGGGCGUAAAGGGCACGCAGGCGGUUAAUUAAGUUGGAUGUGAAAUCCCCGGGCUUAACCUGGGAAUGGCAUUCAAGCUGGUUAGCUAGAGUCUUGUAGAGGGGGUAGAAUUCCAUGUGUAGCGGUGAAAUGCGUAGAGAUGUGGAGGAUACCGGUGGCGAAGGCGGCCCCUGGGACAAGGACUGACGCUCAUGUGCGAAAGCGUGGGGAGCAAACAGGGAUUAGAUACC